CAGGCGGACAUUAAUAAGGCGUUGCCCAUGCUGAUAUUCGGUGGGUUUGCCGUCGCUGCCAGCCUGCUGGCGCUUCUGCUGCCGGAGACGAAGGAUAGAGACUUGCCUGAGACCAUCGAAGAUGGAGAGAACUUUAAUAGGAAAGGCUACAUUCCGUCUGCUGAGCGGCGCUGCAAGCUACGUGAUAAAGAAACCACCACUAGCGGCCUGCUGACGUAAUCCGAUGACGUAUUCCGAUGACGUAAUCCGAUGACGUAAUCCGAUGACGUAAUGUGAUCAGCCGUAUAUCCCACUUAAGAGCGGCAUCUCGCUUCCUGAGGGUUGGAUGAAGAAGAAGACACACAGAAUGCACA